rfam:Pseudocercospora musae strain CBS 116634 scaffold638, whole genome shotgun sequence.
AGGGAGGUCCUAUUUGUUGGUAUGAUGGGUUGAGCUGUAAACUCAAUAGCUAAGGCUGUCAAAGGUUCGAUUCCUUUUCUUCCUA